AUUGAACGCUGGCGGCAUGCCUUACACAUGCAAGUCGAACGGCAGCGGACCUUCGGGUGCCGGCGAGUGGCGAACGGGUGAGUAAUAUAUCGGAACGUACCUUUCAGUGGGGGAUAACGUAGCGAAAGUUACGCUAAUACCGCAUAUUCUGUGAGCAGGAAAGCAGGGGAUCGCAAGACCUUGCGCUGAUUGAGCGGCCGAUAUCAGAUUAGCUAGUUGGUGAGGUAAAGGCUCACCAAGGCGACGAUCUGUAGCGGGUCUGAGAGGAUGAUCCGCCACACUGGAACUGAGACACGGUCCAGACUCCUACGGGAGGCAGCAGGGGGGAAUUUUGGACAAUGGGCGCAAGCCUGAUCCAGCCAUGCCGCGUGAGUGAAGAAGGCCU
rnacentral:rRNA from 1 species